UGGGGCAUAUUGCGCAAUGGGGGCAACCCUGACGCAGCAACGCCGCGUGCGGGACGACGGCCUUCGGGUUGUAAACCGCUUUCAGCAGGGAAGAUAGUGACGGUACCUGCACAAGAAGCCCCGGCUAACUACGUGCCAGCAGCCGCGGUAAUACGUAGGGGGCGAGCGUUAUCCGGAUUCAUUGGGCGUAAAGCGCGCGCAGGUGGUUUAGAAAGUCUGAUGUGAAAGCCCACGGCUCAACCGUGGAGGGUCAUUGGAAACUAAUAAACUUGAGUGCAGGAGAGAAAAGUGGAAUUCCUAGUGUAGCGGUGAAAUGCGUAGAGAUUAGGAGGAACACCGGUGGCGGAAGCGGCUUUUUGGCCGGCAACUGACACUGAGGCGCGAAAGCGUGGGGAGCAAACAGG
rnacentral:rRNA from 1 species